GACGAACGCUGGCGGCGUGCUUAACACAUGCAAGUCGAGCGGAAAGGCCCUUCGGGGUACUCGAGCGGCGAACGGGUGAGUAACACGUGAGUAACCUGCCCCUGACUCUGGGAUAAGCCUGGGAAACCGGGUCUAAUACCGGAUACGACCAUUUCUCGCAUGGGAUGGUGGUGGAAAGUUUUUUCGGUUGGGGAUGGGCUCGCGGCCUAUCAGCUUGUUGGUGGGGUGAUGGCCUACCAAGGCGACGACGGGUAGCCGGCCUGAGAGGGCGACCGGCCACACUGGGACUGAGACACGGCCCAGACUCCUACGGGAGGCAGCAGUGGGGAAUAUUGCGCAAUGGGCGGAAGCCUGACGCAGCGACGCCGCGUGGGGGAUGACGGCCUUCGGGUUGUAAACCUCUUUCAGCAGGGACGAAGUUGACGUGUACCUGUAGAAGAAGCGCCGGCUAACUACGUGCCAGCAGCCGCGGUAAUACGUAGGGCGCGAGCGUUGUCCGGAAUUAUUGGGCGUAAAGAGCUCGUAGGUGGCUUGUCGCGUCUGCCGUGAAAGCCCGUGGCUUAACUACGGGUCUGCGGUGGAUACGGGCAGGCUAGAGGCUGGUAGGGGCAAGCGGAAUUCCUGGUGUAGCGGUGAAAUGCGCAGAUAUCAGGAGGAACACCGGUGGCGAAGGCGGCUUGCUGGGCC
rnacentral:rRNA from 1 species